AUGCGCCCUUUUUACGGAGAACAGAUAGUGCCAUGCAAUAAAAGUCAUUGUCCACCGAUCCUUGAAUACACACGUCUAGAAUUUCUUCGGCACCAUGAGGAUAGAAUGGCGAGUGAUCAAAUUUACAUCCCAUUUCUUUUUACGAAGGAUCUUGAUGGAGUCGAACCAUCAUUCCCAGCAAUUUGUUUGCUGGAAUGCUCUUUCCAGUUCAGAGCUGAAGAUCAACCAUUUAUUCAUCUUUUAUCUUUUAAAUUGAAAAAUAUUCAGCUCAAAGCUAUUUCAGACUCAAGCACAGCCCCAAGAUUCUCCAAUCCAAUUGAAUUUGAAUGA
rnacentral:rRNA from 1 species